UGGGGAAUUUUGGACAAUGGGGGCAACCCUGAUCCAGCCAUGCCGCGUGAGUGAAGAAGGCCUUCGGGUUGUAAAGCUCUUUCGGCGGGGAAGAAAUAGCGUGGGUUAAUACCCUGCGUUGAUGACGGUACCCGCAUAAGAAGCACCGGCUAACUACGUGCCAGCAGCCGCGGUAAUACGUAGGGUGCGAGCGUUAAUCGGAAUUACUGGGCGUAAAGCGUGCGCAGGCGGUUAUAUAAGUCAGAUGUGAAAGCCCCGGGCUCAACCUGGGAACUGCAUUUGAGACGGUAUGACUAGAGUGUGGCAGAGGGGGGUGGAAUUCCACGGUUAGCAGUGAAAUGCGUAGAGAUGUGGAGGAACACCGAUGGCGAAGGCAGCCCCCUGGGCCAAUACUGACGCUCAUGCACGAAAGCGUGGGGAGCAAACA
rnacentral:rRNA from 1 species